rnacentral:rRNA from 1 species
UAGGGAAUCUUCCGCAAUGGACGCAAGUCUGACGGAGCAACGCCGCGUGAGUGAAGAAGGAUUUCGGUUCGUAAAACUCUGUUGUUAGAGAAGAACAGCGCAUAGAGUAACUGUUAUGCGUGUGACGGUAUCUAACCAGAAAGCCACGGCUAACUACGUGCCAGCAGCCGCGGUAAUACGUAGGUGGCAAGCGUUGUCCGGAUUUAUUGGGCGUAAAGCGAGCGCAGGCGGUCAAUUAAGUCUGAUGUGAAAGCCCCCGGCUCAACCGGGGAGGGUCAUUGGAAACAGGUUGACUUGAGUGCCGAAGAGGAGAGUGGAAUUCCAUGUGUAGCGGUGAAAUGCGUAGAUAUAUGGAGGAACACCAGUGGCGAAGGCGACUCUCUGGUCUGUAACUGACGCUGAGGCUCGAAAGCGUGGGUAGCAAACAGG